GAAAGGCCCUGCUUGCAGGGUACUCGAGUGGCGAACGGGUGAGUAACACGUGGGUGAUCUGCCCUGCACUUYGGGAUAAGCUUGGGAAACUGGGUCUAAUACCGGAUAGGAGCCAUCUUUAGUGUGGUGGUUGGAAAGUUUUUUCGGUGUAGGAUGAGCUCGCGGCCUAUCAGCUUGUUGGUGGGGUAAUGGCCUACCAAGGCGGCGACGGGUAGCCGGCCUGAGAGGGUGUACGGCCACCUUGGGACUGAGAUACGGCCCAGACUCCUACGGGAGGCAGCAGUGGGGAAUAUUGCACAAUGGGCGCAAGCCUGAUGCAGCGACGCCGCGUGGGGGAUGAAGGCCUUCGGGUUGUAAACUCCUUUCGCUAGGGACGAAGCUUUGUGUGACGGUACCUAUAUAAGAAGCACCG
rnacentral:rRNA from 1 species